CCUACGGGGAGCAGCAGUGGGGAAUAUUGGACAAUGGGCGAAAGCCUGAUCCAGCCAUGCCGCGUGUGUGAAGAAGGCCUUCGGGUUGUAAAGCACUUUCAGUGGGGAAGAAAGCCUUGGGGCUAAUACCCUCGAGGAAGGACAUCACCCACAGAAGAAGCACCGGCUAACUCCGUGCCAGCAGCCGCGGUAAUACGGAGGGUGCGAGCGUUAAUCGGAAUUACUGGGCGUAAAGCGCGCGUAGGCGGUCUGAUAAGCCGGUUGUGAAAGCCCCGGGCUCAACCUGGGAACGGCAUCCGGAACUGUCAGGCUAGAGUGCAGGAGAGGAAGGUAGAAUUCCCGGUGUAGCGGUGAAAUGCGUAGAGAUCGGGAGGAAUACCAGUGGCGAAGGCGGCCUUCUGGACUGACACUGACGCUGAGGUGCGAAAGCGUGGGUAGCAAACAGGAUUACAUACCCCUGUAGUC
rnacentral:rRNA from 1 species